UACGUAGGGUGCGAGCGUUGUCCGGAAUUAUUGGGCGUAAAGAGCUUGUAGGCGGUUUGUCGCGUCUGCCUGUGAAAAUCCGGGGCUCAACCCCGGACUUGCAGUGGGUACGGGCAGACUAGAGUGUGGUAGGGGAGACUGGAAUUCCUGGUGUAGCGGUGGAAUGCGCAGAUAUCAGGAGGAACACCGAUGGCGAAGGCAGGUCUCUGGGCCACUACUGACGCUGAGAAGCGAAAGCAUGGGGAGCAACAGGAU
rnacentral:rRNA from 1 species